rnacentral:lncRNA from 1 species
AGGACAUUAUGAAGUUUUGAUGGCAAAGGACAACUCCUGAGAGCUGCACACAAAAUACAGUGGACUUUAAGCUAGAGGCGAUUAACAAAUGGUAUCACCUUCACUUUGUGUUCACAGAAAUAAUGAUGCAAAAGUUGUUCUGAGAGGCACAAGAGAAAAAACUGAUAUAGACAAUGCUGUGCUUUGCCCUCCAUUAAGGGUGGUUCCAUGCCGGUCACCAAACCUUUAAUUCAUGACUGUGGGAAACUUCUGCAGCAACCUCGUGGAAAUCAGAUGUUUCGCUAAAUCACUAUGAAGCCAAGAUAGUACAAGUGGAGCUAUUUGGCACCUAAUGCUUGUCAUUUAGUAUAGUUUUAUCUUCUAAUAAGCAUUCUCUGAAAAGAACCACAAAGACCAGAAUCAUAAAAAGCUCUAGGUUUAUCCGUGCUGCAAGGUGUUACAGAGAGGAAAACACUCCACUAGCCCAAGACAUGCAUGUACAUUUAGUUAAAAAAAAUUAAAAAAAAAGAAAGUAAAAAACAAAUAAACAAACAAAAAAGCCAUUAAUAGGCUUGUUAAGUGAAAAAUUAAAAAAACAUUCUGUUAUUUUGCUGCUUUUCUUUCUGCAAUGAAAUGCUAAACACUAAGACUGAAACCAAAUCCCAUAAAAUCUUGUUUAAACAAGACCAGUCAAAUGAAAAAUCCUUUUUAUGGAAAUUAACCUUCUGUGAGAAGAAAAGAAAACUCAACCAAAUAGGCAGCUGCAUGACACUGUAAAUUAGUACAUUAGCCUUUCAGCCUUAGGAGAAGAGAGUUUAUGUUCUGGCACUAGGUGCAAAACCAAACAAAUUUUGAGGUCUCAUAUGAGCUGUGCUCAUGCUGUACUUCUGAUAGUUCAUGUCAAAGAAAGGUCACUGUGAUUUGGCUGGAUCACAUGGUAGAUCUUUACCUCCUGUUUUCAUUAGCUACUAAAUUAAUUUAUUAAAAUAAGAGUGAAAAACAAAGGGAUGUCCUUUGUUUUUCUUAUAAAUUUACAUCCUUUAUGAGUAAAAACUGAGCUAAUGGAACAGAACCCAAUUUGUGAUCAGGUAUUGGUAAUAAUAAAAUUUCUUAUUUGGUAUUGCUUCAUCAUUCCUUUGACUCUACAACAUACCUUGGAAAAAGAUGGAGUUGCUGGAGGAUAGAGCAACCUCCUAGUAAAUGUAGAAUAUGUCUGAUGUACAAGUGCAGAUUUAUCUUUUCUCUUUUUAAGUUUACAGUUCCUCCAAAAACAUUAACUUCAUUCUUUUCAGCUGGUGGGAGUUGUCAUUAAAGGGUCCUGUCCCAACAUGUUUGCCCCAACAGCAGUUCUGCAGACCUGAGGGAGCAGACAGUACAGCAGAUGCCAGAUGAUUAGGACUAAAAGAAGAGAGUGGUGCACCUGGCUCCCUAGAUUCCUUGCCUCCUUUGGCUCGAAACUGCUACUCAGGUAAAACAAGCUGGCAAUGAACAUACUUCCUAUAGGCCUGGCAAAAUCAGCACAGGCUUUAAAAGGUUCUGCUCAUCUGUUUCAGAAGGAAGGAUACAUCUAAUAAUGCAUAAUAUCCUUAUAUAGACUUACAGUGGUCUUCAUGCUCAAAUAUCUCAUAUAUCAAAACCAAAUAAUGAAUAUAUUUACUUUCUGCAAUGUUUCUCUGCCACAGUAAGAUGUGUACAUCUAUCUGAAUAAAAUUAUGUGUCUACCUUAGUUUCCUGAAAAAGGGGAUUUCCAAAAUGAAAGAGGAUAAAAGACAGAAAAACCAAAGCCAAGUGAAAAAUAUAGAAUAAACUAGAAAAUGAAGUUUUCUAAUCUGAAGAAAAGAAAUAACAGAUUACCUUUUUCUCCUGAUGUUGAUAAAGAAAAAAAAAGAAGCAACAGACUGUUACAGCUCAAAUAAAACACAGAGAAAGAAAGAUUCUUGGAUUUGCAUGGAGAAGACAACAAAUAACUAGAUGCCAGAACCCAGUUCUUUACUUUUUACUUUCAUUUGCAUUUGUGCUGAUUGGUUUGACCUUGCUAGAUUCAGACCCUUCAUACAAGUGUAAAUGUACAACGAAAGAGCAGAGCCAGGAUGAAUCAGUGUCCUCACACAAAGCAAAUAAAUUAAAAAAAUAAAAGCAUAGAAGAUUAGCUUCAUCCAUAUGAUAAUGAGGUAGAGCAGGGAUAUCUGGGCCCAGUUCUGUUGAAUUCAACAGACUUCAGAGUUGUUUUUAUCUAAACUGCAGAAAAUAUCUGAGGCCAGCAGAAGAUGACAAAACCUGAUGCUUCUGAUUGAAUUUGGCUCUUAAUCUUCUUUCACUUGAAGUUCAGGUUACUACCAAUCCAGAGAAUGUCCACACAUUCAGAAAAUAAUACAUCAAAAGACAGACAGACAUAGAUUCCAUAUAUCUUAAGGCAGACUUAGAGAAAGCAUUUGAACUAUGUAGGUUAAAACAUUGUCACUAAAUAUUCACUGCUCUACAUUCUUUUGACAGAGGUGAUUACAUUUGCAAUCCUAAAGUCUCCAUUUACCUGCCAUAACUAUUACAUUUAACCUUAAACUCACUGAUUAUUCUUUUUCUCUAAGACUCGUGAAGUUCUUAUUUUGCAGUUCUUAGAGGAAGCUGAAUAUGUUUUCUAUUAUUAUGCAGAAACAUGGACUGUCUUAUAAAAGUAAGAGAAAUCUGUUAAAUGUUCUUCCCCUCAGAACUGCUUCUCCAUCCUUUCCUAAUUUCCAAAUUCACUUUGAAACUGAACAGAGAAAGAAAAAGUUUUAAAUGUAUUACGCUGAAUACAUUAUGCAUUGGUACAGUUCUUCCUCUAGUAUUUUCCUAGAGAUCUGACUUGUCAGUUUAUUUUACAUCCUCCUUGAUAAACUUCUGUAUCUUUUCAACCUGCUUCACCAAAACUGAUUCUGUGUGCUCCCUUUUUAAGGCAGUGAGACUGGCUGCUUCUGAAAUAGUGUACAGUUUUAUUAGUAGAUUUUAUAUACUGGGAGGGAUUUACUCUUGCUUUUUUUUGCCUAAUAGUGUCAGGCCAGAAAAAUGUUUUAUGAGGAUCACACUAAGUUGUACUUUACAGGUUCAGGAUGGCAGGAUCAUUAAUGACAUUUCUUAAUAGAAGCACUUAUAUAUUAAUAAUGUAUGCAUUAAUUACAUGGCUAUUAUAUAAAGUGCCUAUAGAGUCUAUGUACAUGAAUAGUAUCCAUGUAGUAAAUCAAAAAGCUAUAUGUCAACUAUAAUUAUCCAUGCAUUUUUAACUUUCUUUUUUUCCGGCUCCAUUGGGCAACCUCACAUUCCAGCAAAAUGGAUAACUUAAAAAAGAAAUUGGAUAAAAUUUCCAAUUUCCAUCCAUUUCCAACAAAAUCUGGAGUUUCCUCCCAAGUUACAACUAACUAAUGACCAAACUAGACUAAUUUGGUUAAAGCUUAAAUCCUACCUAAACUGCUUUUCUCAGUGAAGAAAACCAUUCAGAAUGUUAAAAAUGAUGUCUUAGUUCUUUUAGAUCCUGAGAUAUUCAGAUAGCAAAAAUACAAUUUUAAGUCAGCGAAGCCUACAUUAUCAAGAAAUUUUUAAAUCUAUAUAACUUAUCCUGAUACAUUUCUAAGAUGAAUUGGUUAUUUCCGAGUUCUUCCACAGAAAAUAAAUGCUCACAGUGCAAAAAAGAAGUCUCCAAAUCCCCAAUUCCCUCUUUUUUUUUUUUUUCCAGAUAUACAGUUUCUUUUUUCCUACUGUGUAUGUCUUUGUACUACUUUGUACAGCUGCUAAGGUUUUGGACUGGCCUCCUCCUGAGGAGUCCCCAGAUUUCCUCAGACACUUUGGGCAACCCAUGACAAGAGAGAUUCAAAAUCGUUUCUGUUGUUUUAACAACACUGAGCAAUAAAACAGCUGGAGAUAGCUUCAACCACAUUAAUUCACCCUGUACAAUUAUUAUCUAACACAUCUGUGCUGCUUCCCUAAGCCACUCUGACUUACUUACUUUGUCAGGACUUGAAAAUUUCUGUCACAGUGAUCGACCUCAUAUGCAGACUAUUGAUGAAGCCUACACUGUUAUUUAAAAAUUUGGAAAUGUUCUAAGAAUAGGAUUGUUUUUUGUUUGUUUGUUUGUUUGCUUUGCUUUACAGCACUGAGACAGAGAGAAAAUAGCCAAUGUUAUUAGAACAUUGGUAAAAAAGCCUUUUUUAUUCUGGGGGGAGCAGCUGCAAAUUGUACUUCUGCGCAACUAAACGUCACGGUAACAGCAAGCAUCUCAGGAAUGAGUAAUAUAUCUCCUUCACCUCGAUGUCACAUUGUACCACAGUGGUCCAUGAUGUAUUCUAUCAUUAUGAUGUAACAACAACUGCAUUCAGUAAAACUUGAGUCACAGGUUUCAGCUGUAAAUCUUAAUUCCAUUUUUCCAAGAACAAGAACCAAGAAAAAGGUUAGGAAGCUUGAUAUCUGUUGAAUUUUUUAGGGAAAGCUGAUUUUUCCCUCAUAAAGCAAAGUCAUGCACGCACACACACACACAAAUAAUUUAAAAAAAAACCCAUCUCGACAUAAACUUUGCACUUUAAAAAAUAUAUAUUUAAGGGACACUAGACUGGCUUGCUUUUCUUGGUGUGCUCUUUGCUACCUAUGUAAACUCCCCUAGCUUCAUUUCCUCAGCAAUAUCAUUGUUGCUUUUGCCAUGUUUUCUUUUAUCUUAUCAAUAAGGAUAUGUGGUUUUUAACAAAAUGAAUAUGUAAUGUAUCUGGACAAAUAUUGGCUUUGUCUCAUCAAAUUUGAGAUCAGUUCAUACAGAGCAAAAACUUGUUGGCUUGAGUUACUUAUAUUUCCAUAUAUAAUGAGAUUUUGGAUGUAUAGUCCAGCAGAAGUUAUGCUUAUCUGAUGCCCCAGAGUUAAAGGUUGCUGAGCAAACCAUUCUGUGCUGAAUUUUCCUUCUCAUGAGUUACAAUUUACAGCUUGCAGUUGCCAAUUUGCAGCCAUACAGAGAACUACAAUGUUCUUCUCUUACGCUUAAUGCCCACAGGAGUCUUUCUUUGCCCUUCCCUACAAGAUACAUACAUACGCAUCACAAUGUUCCUUUCAUGUAUGAAACGGCUGUCUUUGUAUGAGAAUGCAGCUCACACUUGCAGUGAUAUUUUAGACUGACACCAUUUUGGGACAGUGAGUCAGCAGGUCAUGCUUCUAUAGCUAGAUACUCAUAUAAAUUUUCAGAAAUACUGACUUCCCAUUACAUUUUAUGCACGGGGUCACCACGGAGUAAUACUUAAAUCAGACAAAUAAACCUGCCUCUUGUCUUCCAUAAAUAUUACUAACUGAAGACACUAUGCACACAGAAUUUCCAGAGCUUUUUCUUUAGGGUCUCUUGCUGUCAGUAUUUGUUAUAACCAUCCCAUCAAAAUCCAAACCAUCUCAUCAUGAGAAAUCACUGCAUGAAUCUGCACCUGCUUUCAAAGAGUCAGAUGCACUGGUCUGUUGAUAGAAUUGAUAUAAAUGCAUGAAGUCACCUACGGCUUUAAGUAGGAGUCCAAGUCUGAUGAAAUUAGGAUAUGUACUGCUUAAUGUUAUCUGUUGAGGAUGGAACUUAGAGCAUUAUGGAGUAUGCUACUGAUAGAGUUAGAGGUAAUAUGAGAAGGGAAAGACAUUCAUUAGUGGUUUCUUCUCUCUCCGUAUUUUGGGGGGUUAUAAUUUCUGAGUCUUGCUUCAAUCCUAUAUAUAUUGUUAAACAAUCUUAGUUUGGUCUAUGCAAAAAUGCCACAGAGAGAGAAAACAUCAUGGUGAAAUGUUAGGUGUGAGGACAACAAAGUGAACAUAAUAGUCACAGAUUGAUCUAUUAUUUUAUGUGUGUGUGUUUUCUUUCUUUUUUGAAAGAUGUGAAGUUCCCAGUUAAACACAAAUGCGGCAGUGUUUCUCUUUGGCCUCUAAAAAUAACUCCAUCCCAAUAUCAGCAGCUUAGUGAUCACGAGCAAGUUGACAAUAGCCCUUUAUAAAGGAUGUGCUUGCUAGACAAGGAAAACGAAUUCUAGAAACAAAGGAUUCCAGGUUCAAACUUACAGAUUUUGUGUAGAAGCACACAAACUACUGAGGGCAGUUUUGUUAUACACUUCUUUUUUUUUUUUUUUUUUCCUUUUUUUUUUUUUUUUUUCAAUCACAGGGCACAAACAAAAUGCAAGAUACUGAUCACCACCUUGAGCCUACAGAACUUAGUGCCUUCAUUUCAAAUAAUACUCACUUCCAGGAAAUACCAACUCCUCUUCUUUAGCCAAAGGUCCGUAUGUCCCAGCAUAGACCACAAUCAGUGUUUAGAAACAAGGAAUGGAAACAGGGUGGCACAUCCUUUGAGGGGCUGACACACUCUAUGUUAGACUCCCUGAUUUGGAGAGUUCAACUUCCUCAUCACUGUGGAGAAUCCUUGUUAGCCAUUUCUUUCAUAAUUAUUUCUAAGCAAUUUUUCUUAAUUCAUUGUAUUGUCAACGCUUGUGACAUCCCAAACAGCUUAUGUCAAAAAAUGUCACAAAUUAAUAACGAUGCUGUGUAACAAAGUACUUCCUUUAUUUUCUUUAAAUGCCCAAACUGCUUUUUUCUACUACCUCCAAAAUAAAUUCUUGUUAUGAAACUAAGUAAAUGAUUCUUCCCUGUUUUUCCCCCAGUGAUUUAUGGUACUGAAGACCUUGAUUUUAACCCUUCUCAGCUAUCUGUCCCAAGGUGAAUCUUUUUAAAUUUCUACAAUGUCACGAGCCACCUCUAAGUCUUGCUCAUUCUUGUGACCUCUCUCAGUAAAUUUUUAGGUCUCCAUAACCUGAGACAGUGAUCAGAACUGUAGCAGUGGUCAGAAGGACUGUUUUCCUACCAUUUAGAUGACAUAAAGCAAUAGUAAGCCAAGUUUAGUUUUUGGAACUGGAUUUGCCACAGCCAGGCUAUGUCACUUACGAAUAGAUAAAGAUCAUACAAACUACUCAAUUUAAUAGAUUGCAUAGCUCCAAGAACUGACCUGAACUGUUUUGGGGCAGUGCUUCUUCAAUCACUACAGCUAGAUUUACACAGAAAUGUUAGGUACUGUGAAGUAGAAUGUCUAACAUAAAUUUGGAAGAGUUAAACACCAAAAACAGAUACAUUAAAGAUUGAAUCUUGAACAAGUACAUACAAGCACUGUGUAAAUCUAAGAGUCUUAUUCUAAGAUUAGGCAUCUAUUCUGGGUUCCAAGGGCUACUUUAACUUCUGUGAGCAACCCCCUGCAGUGUCAUGCUGAAACUCUCCCUUUAAAAUAAUAACACAAAAGUUCUCUUCAUUUUAUUUCUCUGUAGAUGCAGAUCUAGGUCUUCACUCAUUUUGUGUCUCUUUCCCACAUUUCAUUCCCAAAGGAAGCAGAGAAGCCCUGGUUCAUCUGACCAGCAUUUGAAAGAGCUUUCGGAGGCCGUUAGAUAUCCUAAUACCUACAGCUGAUCUCACAGAGCCUUAUAAAAUGGAGCAGAGCAGUAGCUGAAAAUCCUUUGACAGUCUAGCCUUUCUGGCUACACCUGCAGUAUACCUGAAAUUUUCUAGUCCUUAGAAUAACUGGAAGCUUAGCGCACUCCUUAAGACUUCUAAAUGGCCACACCAGCUUCACAAAGAGCUAGAAAGGCAGCCUGACCUACAGGUCUCUACCACUGUCACAGAGGCCAACAGUAAGCCACAUGUAGCAGGGACUCCAGCACAUACAUUCUGUCAGCCUUUGUCACAAAAGGCCAUUGUAAUGUAGGGAUGCAAAGAGCUCCAGUGCAGAGAGCUUUAUAUAAAAAUGGAUUGAGUUGUCUGUAUCGGUAGAAUUCAGAACACAUACAUUUUUGUUUAAUUUCAACUUUUUUUUUUUAUUGGUCUCAUGCUAUGCCCUAGAUCUUGAUCAUUUUCUUCUCUCUGAAUAAUGUAACAAGUGAAAGCGUCCCACGUAGAUACCACAUCUAGAAAGGCAUGCACAUUACUAACAACAGACCAUGGACUCUGUUAGGGCAAAGCUGCAUAGCUAACUUUACUGAUUUGCACCAGCCCACAAUGUGACCCAUUAUCCUUGAAAGUUGUCCAUUUUUUUUUUUUUUUAAUAUAGUGGGACAAUAAAGUCACUACAUUUAUAGCCCCAGAACACUCUCUGCAUAUUCCAAUAUCUUGUUUGCUCUUUUAACAGCUGCCAAACACUGUGCAGAUGGUUUUACUGAGUUAUCAACAAUCACUCCAGAGGCAGUUCUGAUAUUCCUGUCCUUGGGGCUGAACUAACCGGGGCCAGCACGCCCUUGGUGCAGCCUUGUUGGCGCAGCACAUUUGGCCCACUGACCACAUAGAGCACUGCCUGCAAUUACCUCCUCUCUCCUCCUCUUAUCUCAGUUUACUGACUCUGUACUUAUCUUGGUCCCUUACUUCCUUAUCUAAAACACUGCAAUCUUCCAGGUCCCCUAAUGCAGCUCAUGAUUUGACUCCUGUUGUUCUCAUCUAAUAUUAUUGUCCCUUUCUGCAUUUUACUUUCUCUCUUCCUUUUCCUGAAGCACUCCCAAAAGCACUGGGGUCUUAAAAGUCAUUGCUGUUUACAGAGUUUAUUACUUUCCAUCAUUUCUUAUGAUCCUCCUGCAGCUUGUCUUUCAAAUAGUUAUCUCCAUGAUUUAUUGUAUCGGUCAUACAGUUUCCUCCUUCCCGUACAAAUCAGCUCCAGCUUAGCUAGUUGGUAGGGCUAGACUGUCACUGAUAGGCUUUCUCCCAUUUCUGUGCCUCCCCUGGGCACACUGGGAUCAUGCUCCUCUGCCCUUCUACAUACAUACAUGUAGACCUCAUCAGGUCUCUCAGGGCAUGUUCACUGCAGCCAACCAGGCAGCAGCCUUGCCUGUGUAUUUGAGCAAACGUCUCAAGCUCUGAGGAGCUGGUACCUCUACAAAACCACCUCCUUCUGCCUCUGUCUGGUUGUGUAGCCUUACGCCUACACAUCCCAGGGAAAACUGUCUGAAAGCCACCAAAGCCACCCCUGAUGGUGUCUCUAAAACAUUCAACCUCAACUCCCAUACCUGAGCUUCUAUAAACUGCCACUGUACUGACAAACAGAGUCUUUUUGUUUUUUAACUAAAAUCCUAGAAUCAGAGAAUAUCUUUAGAUGGGAAGGAUGCACAAGGAUCAGGGAGUCCAACUGCUGCCUCCACACAGGAUCACCCAGAAUUCAAACCUUAUUUCAGAGAGUACUGUCCAAACAUUUCUUGAACUUCAGGAAUUUGGGGCUAUGACCCUGGGGAGCCUGUUCCAGUGCCUGAACACCACCAGGUGAAGGAUCUUCUCCUAAAACCCAACCCAACCCACUCCUGACACAAAUUCAUGGCAUUCCUUUGAGUGAAGAAUUGUUUUAAAAUAUCUUCAAAUGGAUCAGCUCUGUCUUACCACAGAAUGGAGCAGAGAAAUCAGUAAAAUCAUCUCUACUCAUUGUUUUUUGGAGCUCUUGCAGCAAAGAGCUGGCACAGCCUACACUGCAGAUCAAACAGCAAACGUUAUUUUGGACCCCUGGUUAUCUGGAGUAAGGAAAGAGAUGCAUAAAGGAAGUUAUAAAACAAAAUGAACCAAGCUACUAGCAAACCAGCAAAAAUAAGAAGAAUAAAAAUAUAAACGGCUGUAGUAACCUCACUACUCUGCAAGCAAAAAGCAUGAACAUGGGCAUAAAUGUCCAGAGAGCUUUGCAAAAGCAAAGAGAAUUGUAUUUCAUCAGGUCUAAACACCUGAUUGUGACCCUGCCUCAGAGAUACCUUCCUGUAACGUCUAUUACCAUCAGGAAGUUCAUUCC